AUUGAACGCUGGCGGCAGGCCUAACACAUGCAAGUCGAGCGGUAACAUUUCUAGCUUGCUAGAAGAUGACGAGCGGCGGACGGGUGAGUAACGCGUAGAAAUCUGCCUGGUAGUGGGGGAUAGCCCAGAGAAAUUUGGAUUAAUACCGCAUACGCCCUACGGGGGAAAGCAGGGGCUCUUCGGACCUUGCGCUAUCAGAUGAGUCUGCGUCGGAUUAGCUUGUUGGUGAGGUAAUGGCUCACCAAGGCGACGAUCCGUAGCUGGUCUGAGAGGAUGAUCAGCCACACUGGAACUGAGACACGGUCCAGACUCCUACGGGAGGCAGCAGUGGGGAAUAUUGCACAAUGGGCGCAAGCCUGAUGCAGCCAUGCCGCGUGUGUGAAGAAGGCCUUAGGGUUGUAAAGCACUUUCAGCAGUGAGGAAAGGUUAGUAGUUAAUACCUGCUAGCUGUGACG
rnacentral:rRNA from 1 species